UACGUAGGGUGCGAGCGUUAAUCGGAAUUACUGGGCGUAAAGCGUGUGUAGGCUGCUACAUAAGUCGGAUGUGAAAGCCCCGGGCUCAACCCGGGAAGUGCACUCGAUACUGCGUAGCUUGAGUCUCGGAGAGGUUGGUGGAAUUCUCGGUGUAGAGGUGAAAUUCGUAGAUAUCGAGAGGAACACCGGUGGCGAAGGCGGCCAACUGGACGAAGACUGACGCUGAGACACGAAAGCGUGGGGAGCAAACAGG
rnacentral:rRNA from 1 species